UGAUAAGAAGUAGGAAAAGGAUACUAAUAAAAUGGGAGUAGUUGUGUCAGUUCCUAUGCCAGUGUUCCCAGCACUGCAACAUUUUGCACUGAGGAGUCACAGCAGCUGGGAAACACUGUUGAGUUGUGCAGAACACGUGGUGCUGAGCCUUGUGCCCAGCUCCCGACUUUCUCUGUUGAUCAACUUGGUGUAGAAAUGCAGCAUUGCAAACUUCAUUUUUCAAUGAAGACAAGUACGAUUUGGCUGCGGGAGAAGAUGUUCUGGGAAGAGCACCAGCAACUCCCACACGGAUACAGGCACAAACUCUUCGAAGAGCUGGGAAGGAUCCCACCUGAACGGAGUGCCAGGCUCUGAGGUGCAGGUAAUGUGGGCUGGUAGGGUGGUAGAGCCUUGAAGGAAUCCGGAAUUUUUUUGGGCAAAAUGCCUCACAGAGCUUCUAGAGCAGGCAGUGGCCUGC
rnacentral:lncRNA from 1 species